rnacentral:lncRNA from 1 species
UUUAUUUUAUUAAAAAAAUAAAGGAUUCUAAUAUUCAUCCGCUUCAUGCCAUAUCCUUUAUGGUAAAUCAAAUAUCAUGGCAAGCUACAAGAACGUUACUUCGUACCGCAAGGUUCCAUAAUCCCAAAGGUCUUGUGAGCAGCACCUAAGAGGACUUUUAUCGGCUGGGGAUCUUACCUAUGCAAUAUAAAGUGAUAAAGUUAGGGCAAUCUUUUCAGAAUCUUGUCUACAUUAUUUUCCUGUACAGCAACUUUCAGAUACCGAAAACGGACUCAUGCGCAUCCAAGGUCUUUGUCCAGGUUGGCAAAAACAUAAUUUUCUUCUCAUAUAAACAUCCCAUAGAUUUAUUUGUGAAGUAUUAAUUUAGAAUGGGUUCUCAAGUCCAGCUAAAAUUAACUUUUAUUCUGAACACUUAGUCAAAGGUAGAACAUAGAGAAAAGCUUAGAUGAACAUCACCUACAACAUUAAUGCCAUGGAAAAAAGCUGCUG